rnacentral:rRNA from 1 species
GGACCGACAGCAAUAUGAAGGCCAGGCUGAAGACUCUGCUUGACUAGCUGAGAGGAGGUGCAUGGCCGUCGUCAGUUCGUACUGUGAAGCAUCCUGUUAAGUCAGGCAACGAGCGAGACCCACGCCAACAGUUGCCAGCAUGUCCUCCGGGAUGAUGGGGACACUGUUGGGACCGCCUCUGCUAAAGAGGAGGAAGGAAUGGGCAACGGUAGGUCAGCAUGCCCCGAAUUAUCUGGGCUACACGCGGGCUACAAUGGGUGGGACAAUGGGUAUCGACACCGAAAGGUGAAGGCAAUCUCCUAAACCCAUCCGUAGUUCGGAUUGUGGGCUGCAACUCGCCCACAUGAAGCUGGAAUCUGUAGUAAUCGUGUCUCAAAAUGGCACGGUGAAUAUGUCCCUGCUCCUU